AUACGGAGGGUGCAAGCGUUAUCCGGAUUUAUUGGGUUUAAAGGGUGCGCAGGCGGAUAAUUAAGUCAGUGGUGAAAUCCUCCCGCUCAACGGGAGAACUGCCAUUGAUACUGAUAAUCUGGCAUACGUUUGAAGUGGGCGGAAUGUAGCAUGUAGCGGUGAAAUGCAUAGAAAUGCUACAGAACACCGAUCGCGAAGGCAGCUUACUAAGCCGAUAUUGACGCACAGGCACGAAAGCGUGGGGAGCGAACAGAAUUAGAAACCCGGGUAGUCC
rnacentral:rRNA from 1 species